rnacentral:rRNA from 1 species
UUGAACGCUGGCGGAAUGCUUUACACAUGCAAGUCGAGCGGCAGCGCGGGGGCAACCCUGGCGGCGAGCGGCGAACGGGUGAGUAAUGUAUCGGAACGUACCCUGUCGUGGGGGAUAACACAGCGAAAGCUGUGCUAAUACCGCAUACGACCUGAGGGUGAAAGCGGGGGAUCGCAAGACCUCGCGCGAUAGGAGCGGCCGAUAUCGGAUUAGCUUGUUGGUGAGGUAAAGGCUCACCAAGGCGACGAUCCGUAGCUGGUCUGAGAGGACGACCAGCCACACUGGAACUGAGACACGGUCCAGACUCCUACGGGAGGCAGCAGUGGGGAAUUUUGGACAAUGGGCGAAAGCCUGAUCCAGCCAUGCCGCGUGCGGGAAGAAGGCCUUCGGGUUGUAAACCGCUUUCAGCCGGAAAGAAAUCGCCACUUCUAAUACGAGUGGUGGAUGACGGUACCGGAAGAAGAAGCACCGGCUAACUACGU